GAAGUCCCACCUGGGAAAUCCUGAGCCGCGAGCCUAGUAUUGAGCCUUGCGGUUGUAGCUGAUCGCAGAUACAUCGAUGCGUAGGCCAGAUAAGCAGGCGAGAUGCAAAGGUAACAAGUGGAGCCGACCUUGAAGGUGUUGAGCCCCGAAAAUUCCGGUUGGUGCGGUUGGUGAGAGCCGACAGUUUUGACCCGCCGGUAGGCAACAAUCCGUGUCAUGCUCUGGCGAGCGGCACGGGUACUCCCCGAGGUCCUAGGCCG
rfam:Tncultured Thiohalocapsa sp. PB-PSB1 scaffold_1043, whole genome shotgun sequence.